ACCAAGCAACACCUUUUUUUUUAUACUCCAGCAAUUAAUCCUAAUACAUGUGUUGCAAAGUUAGAUUAUCCACGCAGCCAUCUAAUUUUUACUUACUGUUUCCGCAGCAUCUCUCCAUUCUGCAUUCAAGGGGUUCCAUUUAAAUUGACUUUGCACAGAUGGAACAAAAUAUAGUGGCACUCAAAGCUGAGUCAAUACAAAGGUAUAGGAAAAUAUAUCUACUCCAUUAUUACAACAUAUACAUAACAAAG